UACGAAGGGGGCUAGCGUUGCUCGGAAUUACUGGGCGUAAAGCGCACGUAGGCGGAUUGUUAAGUCGGGGGUGAAAUCCUGGAGCUCAACUCCAGAACUGCCUUCGAUACUGGCGAUCUCGAGUUCGGGAGAGGUGAGUGGAACUGCGAGUGUAGAGGUGAAAUUCGUAGAUAUUCGCAAGAACACCAGUGGCGAAGGCGGCUCACUGGCCCGAUACUGACGCUGAGGUGCGAAAGCGUGGGGAACAAACAGG
rnacentral:rRNA from 1 species